rnacentral:sRNA from 1 species
GCCAGAUGUGGUAGUGCAUGCCUGUAAUCCCAGCAGCUCGGGAGUCAGAGACAGGAGGAUUGCAAGUUUGAGGCCAGUCUCAGAAACUUAGCAAGACCCUGUCUCGG